GACGAACGCGGCGGCGUGCCUAAUACAUGCAAGUAGAACGCUGAAGGAGGAGCUUGCUCUUCUGGGUGAGUUGCGAACGGGUGAGUAACGCGUAGGUAACCUGCCUGGUAGUGGGGGAUAACUAUUGGAAACGAUAGCUAAUACCGCAUAAUAACAGUUGUUGCAUGACAACUGUUUGAAAGGUGCAAUUGCAUCACUACCAGAUGGACCUGCGUUGUAUUAGCUAGUUGGUGGGGUAACGGCUCACCAAGGCGACGAUACAUAGCCGACCUGAGAGGGUGAUCGGCCACACUGGGACUGAGACACGGCCCAGACUCCUACGGGAGGCAGCAGUAGGGAAUCUUCGGCAAUGGACGAAAGUCUGACCGAGCAACGCCGCGUGAGUGAAGAAGGUUUUCGGAUCGUAAAGCUCUGUUGUAAGAGAAGAACGAGUGUGAGAGUGGAAAGUUCACACUGUGACG
rnacentral:rRNA from 1 species